CGUUACAUUCACUACUACAGAUUUUCAAUAUGACAGCAAUUCUGAAACAACUUCUUUGCGCUUUAAUUAAUUAAUAAUCGUGUCGAUCGAUGGUAGAACCUUGUCGUCGAAGGAUAUAGCUUCGUGCACAAAAGAAGGUUGCACGCGAGGUCGGACGCACGAGAAGCGCCGGGAGAUUGUAGUCACCCUGAGAUUCAAGUCCACGUCCACGCCUGGUUGUAAAGCCGGAGAGGGUAUCGGAUCACAAAUUUAUACUUUUGCGACUGCACACACUGGUGAAUUUUGCAUCGUCGAACACGUGGAUUAUACAGAAGGCUCUCUUAAUGAAAGGAUUGGGUAGAGUGAAAAUCGCUUUGAAAUUAGUUACACCCUCAGUAGCGGUUACUAUACUGACAUUGAGACUACCGAUCUCUUCCCAAAUGUCUGACAAGCUGAAAAUUACUAGAUACUGUUACGAUAUCACGACCAACUAAAGACCUGAUAUUACUGCCGUCGUUAACGAGCUGGAUAAUUUCGUUGAAUACGAAUAAAAUUGCUUAUGGAUUUAUUAAUAAAAGGAAUUGUUGCAAUCCAAUGUCAGAAUGUGUUAUACUUGAUGGAAUAUGGAGAUGUGGACUCGUUUACGUUAUAAACAGAGGCUUUGAUGACUGUCAUUGAGAGACUGAAUGCAGCUGUAAUCUACGAUGAUUUUAACUUUUAUAUUAAUAUCACUUAUUGUAAUAAAAUUUAUGUUUAGAAAAAUUAAUAGAUUGCAAACGUGUAUACAAUAAAAUGUAAGAUAUCC